rnacentral:rRNA from 1 species
GACGAACGCUGGCGGCGUGCCUAAUACAUGCAAGUAGAACGCUGAAGGAGGAGCUUGCUUCUCUGGAUGAGUUGCGAACGGGUGAGUAACGCGUAGGUAACCUGCCUGGUAGCGGGGGAUAACUAUUGGAAACGAUAGCUAAUACCGCAUAAUAGUAGAUGUCGCAUGACAUUUGCUUAAAAGGUGCAAUUGCAUCACUACCAGAUGGACCUGCGUUGUAUUAGCUAGUUGGUGAGGUAACGGCUCACCAAGGCAACGAUACAUAGCCGACCUGAGAGGGGGAUCGGCCACACUGGGACUGAGACACGGCCCAGACUCCUACGGGAGGCAGCAGUAGGGAAUCUUCGGCAAUGGACGGAAGUCUGACCGAGCAACGCCGCGUGAGUGAAGAAGGUUUUCGGAUCGUAAAGCUCUGUUGUAAGAGAAGAACGAGUGUGAGAGUGGAAAGUUCACACUGUGACGGUAGCUUACCAGAAAGGGACGGCUAACUACGUG